CUCGAACGGUAAGGCCCCUUCGGGGGUACACGAGUGGCGAACGGGUGAGUAACACGUGGGUAAUCUGCCCUGCACUUCGGGAUAAGCCUGGGAAACCGGGUCUAAUACCGGAUAUGAACUCCUGCCGCAUGGUGGGGGUUGGAAAGUUUUUCGGUGCAGGAUGAGCCCGCGGCCUAUCAGCUUGUUGGUGGGGUAAUGGCCUACCAAGGCGACGACGGGUAGCCGGCCUGAGAGGGUGAUCGGCCACACUGGGACUGAGACACGGCCCAGACUCCUACGGGAGGCAGCAGUGGGGAAUAUUGCACAAUGGGCGAAAGCCUGAUGCAGCGACGCCGCGUGGGGGAUGACGGUCUUCGGAUUGUAAACCCCUUUCAGUAGGGACGAAGCGCAAGUGACGGUACCUGCAGAAGAAGCACCGGCUAACUACGUGCCAGCAGCCGCGGUAAUACGUAGGGUGCGAGCGUUGUCCGGAAUUACUGGGCGUAAAGAGCUCGUAGGCGGUUUGUCACGUCGUCUGUGAAAUCCCUCGGCUUAACCGGGGGCGUGCAGGCGAUACGGGCAGACUUGAGUACUACAGGGGAGACUGGAAUUCCUGGUGUAGCGGUGAAAUGCGCAGAUAUCAGGAGGAACACCGGUGGCGAAGGCGGGUCUCUGGGUAGUAACUGACGCUGAGGAGCGAAAGCAUGGGUAGCGAACAGGAUUAGAUACCCUGGUAGUCCAUGCCGUAAACGGUGGGCGCUAGGUGUGGGGUCCUUCCACGGACUCCGUGCCGUAGCUAACGCA
rnacentral:rRNA from 1 species